rnacentral:rRNA from 1 species
CGCCCCGGGAUUGAUGAAGGUUUUCGAAUCGAAAAGCUCUGUUGUUAGGGAAAAACAAGUGCCGUUCGAAUAGGGCGGCACCUUGACGGACCCUAACCAAAAAGCCACGGCUAACUACUUGCCACCAGCCGCGGAAAUACGUAGGUGGCAAGCGUUGUCCGGAAUUAUUGGCCGUAAAGCGCGCGCAGGUGGUUCCUUAAUUCUAAUGUGAAACCCCACGGUUCACCCGUGAAGGGUCAUUGAAAACUGGGAAACUUGAUUGCAAAAAAGAAAAGUGAAAUUCCAAUUGUACCGUUGAAAUGCGUAAAUAUUUGAAGAAACACCAUUGCCAAAGGCAACUUUCUGGCCUGUAACUAACACUAAGGCCCGAAACCUUGGGAACCAAACAGGAUUAGAUACCCUGGUAGUCCACGCCGUAAACAAUAAUUGCUAGUUGUUAGGGGGUUUCCGCCCCUUAUGGCUGCAGCUAACGCAUUAACCACUCCGCCUGGGGAGUACGGUCGCAAGAUUAAAACUCAAAGAAUUUGAC